rnacentral:rRNA from 1 species
AUUGUAGUCUGCAACUCGACUACAUGAAGCUGGAAUCGCUAGUAAUCGCGGAUCAGAAUGCCGCGGUGAAUACGUUCCGGGUCUUGUACACACCGCCCGUCACACCAUGGGAGUCAGUAACGCCCGAAGCCGGUGACCCAACCUAUUCUGGAGGGAGCCGUCGAAGGCGGGACGGAUGACUGGGGUGAAGUCGUAACAAGGUAGC